AUGGUCGCCGCAGUGCGGUCCGGGAUGCGCAUCAGAAUGGAGGAAAUGGCGAGCCUCGACGUCAACGUCCCAUGGAGCUUGAUCAACCGCAUCAAAGCAGAGUGCGGCAGCGACUGCACGGUGUUCGACGCCAUUGUCGCGCUUAUCUGGCAGUGCCGCACCCGCGCGGUCAUCUCCGACCCCUACGCGCCCGCGCCCCUCGUCUUCACGAGCAACAUUCGAGGGCUCGUGGGCGCCAAGCGCGGCUACUACGGCAACUGCCUGAUGGGGCAGACGGUCCAAGCGAGGAGCGGCGCGGUGGCGAGCGGCGACGUCAAGGACCUGGUAAAGCUCAUCAGGUUUGCCAAGGAGGACAUACUCAUGAACGGCGGUGGGGGCGCCGAUGGUGGUGGGGAUCAUCGGCGGCAGCAGCAGACGCCCCCGCCGAGCUACUCCAAGUACAACACGCUGGCUGUGACGAGCUGGAGGAACAUUGGGUUCGACGCGGUGGACUUCGGGCGUGAGAGUCCAGCGCGGGUGAUGCCACCGAUGUGCAAGCCGGAGCAGACGGCGGUGAACCUCUGCAUUUUGUGUCCGCCGUGCAAGGGGAAGGACGGUGUCAAAGUCGUGUCCCAGUGCGUCAAGCCGGAGCACGCCGAUGUCUUCGUUCAGGAGUUGGCCGCCCCGGGUAUAUAG
rnacentral:rRNA from 1 species